GCACAAGCGGUGGAGCAUGUGGUUUAAUUCGACGCAACGCGAAGAACCUUACCAGGGCUUGACAUCCCCUGACCGCGUAUGAAAGUACGUUUCACCUUCGGGUGACAGGGAGACAGGUGGUGCAUGGUUGUCGUCAGCUCGUGUCGUGAGAUGUUGGGUUAAGUCCCGCAACGAGCGCAACCCUUAUCUUUAAUUGCCAGCAUUCAGUUGGGCACUUUAAAGAGACUGCCGGUGUUAAACCGGAGGAAGGUGGGAUGACGUCAAGUCCUCAUGGCCUUUAUGCUUAGGGCUACACACGUGCUACAAUGGGUGGUACAAAGAGAAGCCAACUCGCGAGAGCGCGCCAAUCUCAAAAAGCCAUCCUCAGUUCGGAUUGGAGUCUGCAACUCGACUCCAUGAAGUUGGAAUCGCUAGUAAUCGCGGAUCAGCAUGCCGCGGUGAAUACGUUCCCGGGCCUU
rnacentral:rRNA from 1 species